GACGAACGCUGGCGGCGUGCUUAACACAUGCAAGUCGAACGAUGAAAGCGGGAGCUUGCUCCUGCUGGAUUAGUGGCGAACGGGUGAGUAACACGUGAGCAAUCUGCCCUUGACUCUGGGAUAACGCCGAGAAAUUGGUGCUAAUACCGGAUAUGACCCCUGGCGGCAUCGCUGGGGGUGGAAAGUUUUUCGGUCAAGGAUGAGCUCGCGGCCUAUCAGCUAGUUGGUGAGGUAAUGGCUCACCAAGGCGACGACGGGUAGCCGGCCUGAGAGGGUGACCGGCCACACUGGGACUGAGACACGGCCCAGACUCCUACGGGAGGCAGCAGUGGGGAAUAUUGCACAAUGGGCGCAAGCCUGAUGCAGCAACGCCGC
rnacentral:rRNA from 1 species